GCCACCGCCCGCCCAGCGGGAGGUGCUCAGGGUCCAGCCCUGCAGCUUCCAGCAGCUCCACAGGGAGCAGCAGCCCCCAGCCUUCAACCCACGAGGCAGGAAAAGAGUUGUAGCCUUGUUUUUCCAAAACGUAAUGAAAAGUGACGUUUGAAGUAUUUUUCCACAAGGCUCUGUCAUUCUCAGCCAGAAAUUGUCAAGCCUAUUAGGAAGAGGAACCUAGAAGGCCAAAAAAUUCUCUGCCUGUUUUUUUUCCUGCAUGCUUCCUGUGAUGUUUGAUCCAAGGCAGCAAUAGAGAUCUGUGUCCUAGAGCCACAUUGUGGAGCCUGACCAAUAUGUUUGGAUUCUUGCAGCCACCCCAGGCACUUUAGCGUCCAGCACUCCAGCUGGCAGUGCUGGUUGUGCAGCAUUGACAGUGUCCAGCUCCACACAGAACACACCUGGGGAAGAGCAGUCACCAGUGGAUCUUGGCUUUGCCAUUGAGCAAAUGAUCCGGGAGAUCCCUGCCUGAAAGGUCUCUCUCUGCACAGGUAACUCCAUUGGAGGGGAAAGUAAGAGGCUGAGCUGAGAGCUUACAUGGAGAAGAAGAGAAACUGUAUCCCUGAUAUGAUUCCAAGAAAAUACCAAAUGAUCUUGAGUUUUCUUUCUUUCCAUUGUUCUUUCAAGGGCAAUAUUAAUGUUGUGCCUAAGUCUUCUGGAGGCGAGCCUGUGAACCAGGCUGCAGCAGAGGAAGCCUCAUCUGGCACUGAGAGGAACAGUUUGCCAGAGCCUGAGGAGCUUGAUCCUGUGUGAUCGACCUCUGCAGGAGGGCUGCCCUGUGUGGCAGGAAGAGACAGAGGGAGAGGCUGUGACCAUCGAGCAGGUAGAAUUCCUCUGUCUCUAGUUAUAUUUAUAGAUGCGCAUAGUUAUGUUUAUUUAUCUAGGUAGUUGUAUUUAUAGAUUUAUGUAAUUAUAUUUAUCUAUAUAGGUAGAGAUCUGUACAGUUAAUUUUUUUUUUGUUUUAGAUGUAUAUCGUUAUAGCUUUAGAUGUGUUGGUGUAGUUAUAGAUGUGCACAGUUGCACUUAUACCUGUGUAUAGUUACAUUUAUAUAUAUACAUUUGUAAAUGCAUAUUUAUAUUUGUAUAUGGGGGUUUAGCUAAAUAGAUUGAUAUCUG